CCUACGGGUGGCAGCAGUGGGGAAUAUUGCACAAUGGGGGAAACCCUGAUGUAGCGACGCCGCGUGAGUGAAGAAGUAAUUCGUUAUGUAAAGCUCUAUCAGCAGGGAAGAAAAUGACGGUACCUUAGUAAGAAGCCCCGGCUAACUACGUACCAGCAGCCGCGGUAAUAGGUAGGGGGCAAGCGUUAUCCGGAUUUACGGGGUGUAAGGGGAGGGUAGACGGCAGUGAAGGCCUGGAGUGAAAGGCGGGGGCUAAACCCCUGGACUGCUCUGGAUACUGUACGGCUGGAGUGCAGGAGGGGUAAGUGGAAUUUCUAGUGUAGCGGUGAAAUGCGUAGAUAUUAGGAGGAACACCAGUGGCGAAGGCGGCUUACGGGACUGUAACUGACGUUGAGGCUCGAAAGCGUGGGGAGCAAACAGGAUUAGAUACCCGAGUAGUC
rnacentral:rRNA from 1 species